rnacentral:rRNA from 1 species
GGCCUUUAACUUCGAUCGUGCCUUCCGGCAAUGCACAGGUAGCCAAGAGUAGAGUUGUUUGGGAUCGCAGCUCAAAGUGGGUGGUAAGCUCCAUCUGAGGCUAAAUACCGGCGCGAGUCCGAUAGCAAACAAGUACCGUGAGGGAAAGUUGAAAAGAACUUUGAAGAGAGAGUUCAAAAGACCGUGAAAGCGCCUACGGGCAAACGGGAGGAACCGCCUUUUGCAAUCAACGGAAUCCAACUCCCCGCACUGAUUGGCGAGGGCUCCUGUCGGACCAAUCCUUCUCGGAGGACGGGACGACACCUGCUCUGCGUCUGUCACCGAGAGUGUAUCUUCCGUCUGAUUGCCAGUCGCGACAGUUUCGGCGCACUUCGUAUCGGUAGGGGAUAGGUUUCGGAGCUGCUUGUCAGCUUUUCGACUACCUUCCUCGGCCGCUUAAGGCGGACGUUGCGCCAGGCCUAGGAACGGCCCUGCAUUGCUCUCGUUUUUUUAAACGAGUUUGGAUGUGGUCAAGGGUCAGCGACUUGCCGUGUCGGCACUCUUCCCGACCCGUCUUGAAACACGGACCAAGGAGUCUAACGUAGUCGCGAGUCUUCGGGUAGUCAAUCCUGCUGGCGCAAUGAAAGUGAUUUGGCCCGAUUCAUGUAAAUGACGCAGGGCCGGCCCGUCGGGGGUUGUCACGGCCCCGGCGGAGCUAGAGCGACUGUGUUGGGACCCGAAAGAUGGUGAACUAGGCCCGAGCAGGACAAAGCCGGGAGAAAUGCUGGUGGCGGUCCUCAGUGGUUCUGACGCGCAAAUCGAUCACGAAACUUGGGCGUAGGGGCGAAAGACUAAUCGAACCAUCUAGUAGCUGGUUCCCUCCGAAGUUUCCCCCAGGAUAGCUGGCACUCGAAGAGACAGUUUCGUCCGGUAAAGCGAAUGAUUAGAGGAGUCCGUGCCGAAAUGGUGUGGAGCUAUUGUCAAACUUUGAACGGGCGCAAAGGGGAGCCUACCACUCAGACUUGGGAGGCUGGCCCCCGUCGAAAUGUACGAGUGCCAAGUGGGCCA